GAUGAAGAACGUAGCGAAAUGCGAUACUUGGUGUGAAUUGCAGAAUCCCGUGAACCAUCGAGUCUUUGAACGCAAGUUGCGCCUCAAGCCAUUAGGUUGAGGGCACGUCUGCCUGGGCGUCACGUAUCGUUGCCUGAUGCCAGUUUCCUCGUGAUGGGUGACUGUGCAGGGCGAAUGAUGGCUUCCCGUGAGCAUUGUUGCCUCAUGGUUGGUUGAAAAUUGAGUCCUUGGUAGGGAGCGCCGUGAUAGAUGGUGGUUGAGUGACGAACGAGACCCAAUCAUGUGAGACCCCUACCGAAUUUGGCCUUCAUGACCCACAUGCGUCUUUGGAACGCUCAUGACGAGACCUCAGGUCAGGCGGGGCUACCCGCUGAGUUUAAGCAUAUCAAUAAGCGGAGGA
rnacentral:misc_RNA from 1 species